rnacentral:rRNA from 1 species
GAUGAACGCUAGCGGCAGGCUUAAUACAUGCAAGUCGAGGGGCAGCGCGGGUAGCAAUACCUGGCGGCGACCGGCGCACGGGUGCGUAACACGUGUGCAACCUACCUUUAACUGGAGAAUAGCCCCGGGAAAUCGGGAUUAAUGCUCCAUAAAAUUAUUGAAUGGCAUCAUUUAGUAAUUAAAGCUCCGGCGGUUUUAGAUGGGCACGCGCGACAUUAGCUAGUUGGUGAGGUAACGGCUCACCAAGGCAUCGAUGUCUAGGGGUUCUGAGAGGAUUACCCCCCACACUGGUACUGAGACACGGACCAGACUCCUACGGGAGGCAGCAGUAAGGAAUAUUGGGCAAUGGACGCAAGUCUGACCCAGCCAUGCCGCGUGAAGGAUGACAGCCCUAUGGGUUGUAAACUUCUUUUGUACGGGAAAAAACUCCAGUUCGUGAACUGGACUGAUUGUACCGUAAGAAUAAGGAUCGGCUAACUCCGUG